rnacentral:rRNA from 1 species
CUACGGGACGCAGCAGUGGGGAAUAUUGCACAAUGGGCGCAAGCCUGAUGCAGCCAUGCCGCGUGUAUGAAGAAGGCCUUCGGGUUGUAAAGUACUUUCGGCGGGGAGGAAGGGAGUAAAGUUAAUACCUUUGCUCAUUGACGUUACCCGCAGAAGAAGCACCGGCUAACUCCGUGCCAGCAGCCGCGGUAAUACGGAGGGUGCAAGCGUUAAUCGGAAUUACUGGGCGUAAAGCGCACGCAGGCGGGUUGUUAAGUCAGAUGUGAAAUCCCCGGGCUCAACCUGGGAACUGCAUCUGAUACUGGCAAGCUUGAGUCUCGUAGAGGGUGGUAGAAUUCCAGGUGUAGCGGUGAAAUGCGUAGAGACCUGGAGGAAUACCGGUGUCGAAGGCGGCCCCCGGGACGAAUACUUACGCUCAGGUGCGAAAGCGUGGCGAGCAACCAGGAUUAGAUACCCUCGUAGUC